rnacentral:tRNA from 1 species
GGCUCGAUAGCUCAGUCGGUAGAGCAAAGGAUUGAAAAUCCUUGUGUCGGGGGUUCGAUUCCCUCUCGCGCCA